rnacentral:rRNA from 1 species
CUACGGGAGGCAGCAGUGGGGAAUUUUGCGCAAUGGGCUAACGCCUGACGCAGCAACGCCGCGUGGAGGAUGAAGGUCUUUGGAUUGUAAACUCCUGUCAGCAGGGAAAAAGCAACCUGACCUCAUACGUCAGGGAGUUGAUUGUACCUGCAGAGGAAGCCCCGGCUAACUCUGUGCCAGCAGCCGCGGUAAUACAGAGGGGGCAAGCGUUAUUCGGAAUUAUUGGGCGUAAAGGGCGCGUAGGCGGCCUGGCAAGUGGAAGGUGAAAUCCCUCGGCUUAACCGAGGAACUGCCUUCCAGACUGCUUGGCUUGAGACCGGGAGAGGUGAGUGGAAUUCCCAGUGUAGCGGUGAAAUGCGUAGAUAUUGGGAGGAACACCAGUGGCGAAGGCGGCUCACUGGACCGGUACUGACGCUGAGGCGCGAAAGCGUGGGGAGCAAACGGGAUUAGAUACCCCGGUAGA